AACAGUGGCGGCAUUCCAGCUGGUGAGUC
rnacentral:piRNA from 1 species